rnacentral:rRNA from 1 species
UACGGGGGGGGCAAGCGUUGUUCGGAAUUACUGGGCGUAAAGGGCUCGUAGGCGGCCAACUAAGUCGGAUGUGAAAUCCCCAGGCUUAACCUGGGAACUGCAUCCGAUACUGGAUGGCUUGAAUCCGGGAGAGGGAUGCAGAAGUCCAGGUGUAGCGGUGAAAUGCGUAGAUAUCUGGAGGAAUACCGGUGGCGAAGGCGGCAUCCUGGACCGGCAUUGACGCUGAGUGAGCGAAAGCCAGGGGAGCAAACGGG